UCUCCUGGAAAACGGGUGGUAAUGCCGGAUGCUCCGACUCCUCGCAUGGGGUGUCGGGAAAGAUUUCAUCGGUAUGGGAUGGGGUCGCGUCCUAUCAGGUAGUCGGCGGGGUAACGGCCCACCGAGCCUACGACGGGUAGCCGGCCUGAGAGGGCGACCGGCCACAUUGGGACUGAGAUACGGCCCAGACUCCUACGGGAGGCAGCAGUGGGGAAUAUUGCACAAUGGGCGCAAGCCUGAUGCAGCGACGCCGCGUGCGGGAUGACGGCCUUCGGGUUGUAAACCGCUUUUGAUCGGGAGCAAGCCUUCGGGUGAGUGUACCUUUCGAAUAAGCACCGGCUAACUACGUGCCAGCAGCCGCGGUAAUACGUAGGGUGCAAGCGUUAUCCGGAAUUAUUGGGCGUAAAGGGCUCGUAGGCGGUUCGUCGCGUCCGGUGUGAAAGUCCAUCGCUUAACGGUGGAUCUGCGCCGGGUACGGGCGGGCUGGAGUGCGGUAGGGGAGACUGGAAUUCCCGGUGUAACGGUGGAAUGUGUAGAUAUCGGAAAGAACACCAGC
rnacentral:rRNA from 1 species